rnacentral:rRNA from 1 species
GACAGAGGGUGCAAACGUUGCUCGGAAUUACUGGGCGUAAAGCGCGUGUAGGCGGGAAGAUAAGUCGGGUGUGAAAUCCCUGGGCUCAACCUAGGAACUGCAUUCGAAACUGUCUUUCUGGAGUGAUGGAGAGGAAAGCGGAAUUCCCGGUGUAGAGGUGAAAUUCGUAGAUAUCGGGAGGAACACCAGUGGCGAAGGCGGCUUUCUGGGCCGUGUUCUGACGCUGAGGAGCGAAAGCGUGGGGAGCAAAC